rnacentral:lncRNA from 1 species
GUUGAGCAACGAGCAUGUUCGGUCAGGACGGCUGACACAGGGCUUUCCCUGGACUCGCGGGGCUGAGAUGAAUGAAGCCAGGCAUCACCACUGCUUCCGUGGCCACAAUUCGGUGUAGUCUUAGGAGACUGUUCCAAGGUGGGAGAAAACAAGAAAGCAAGAUCCUGAGCGAACUGCUCCCACAGCAUAUGGAGGUUCCCAUGGUAGGGGUCAAACUGGAGCUGGAGCUGCCAGCCUACACCACAGCCCCAGCAACACAGGAUCCGAGCUGGGUCUGCGAACUUCACCACGGCUCUUGGAAACGCCAAAUCCUUAACCCACUGAGGGAGGCCGGGGAUGGAAGCUGGGUCCUCCUGGAUGCUGGUUAGAUUCGUCAUCCGCUGAGCCCCAGUGGGAACUCCUUCCCUGAUGUCCUUGUUUCUGCAGUUCAGCACCCGCUUUUCUCAUCACCCUUCUUCACGACCUCUGAGUCCUUUCUGCCCCCUCGCUGCCCCUUCCUCCCCAGGCACAACCCCCUCCUCAUCUCAGACCCGAAUGCUGUCUCCAGGCACUGGGUAAAAACGCAGGCUGCAGGAAAAGCCGGUAUUAACAAAGGAACCCAGAUCAGGCCUCUGUGAGAGCCUGGACCGUCCAUCUCCCCGCAAAAAGAGAGUGAUGUCAGUGAAGACAAAAUAGUAUCUGAGGAAAGAAAGAGCCGAUCGUCUUGUAGGUUUGUUCAAAACCACCUAUUUACGCGUCCCAGAAGCUUCGCGAAUGAAAACCAGCACAGGCUUUAUGAAGUCUGCUCACCCAUCACAGUCAUAAUGAAACCAGUGGAAACGAUGAGAAGCGUCCAGAGACGAUGUCAUGUUCCAUCCAGAGGAGAAGCGGUUUGGCCGACUCGAGCUUCCACCUCGGAAACCAGUGCUGUCAGCAGAGGAGGCGUUCUGGAGAGACAGGACGUUCUGGGAGUCUCCCGGCGACAUUCUUGGGGUGUGAAGGCGAAACGGGCAUCGUUAGAGGGAGGAGUGUGGAGAGACUUGGUGCCCGUGGACCUGCUCUAAGGGAAAUGGUGAGGGCGAGUCUUCGGGUGGAAAGGAAGCCAUUCUCGGGGGGGGGACUUGCAGGGUCCCCAGUGAAGUGAGACCCCCAGGUGGGCAGUAGCAGGUAAAGGCAGCGGGUGUGUUCUCCCCUCAGGUCUUUGAAUCCCGUGGGGCUUUUGAAAGCAAACAUCGCGUGUGGUGGGGAGUUUGGUGCAUGCAGACGAAGACGCAGAGCAGCUGCAGCGAGAGGGCGGGGGGUGCAGGGGUCUUAGGAUGGUGCGGGUUCUGUGUUUCUCUGAGGCGCUGACAACAUUCGGUCUGACGUUGGGCAUGUGUAUUAUACCGCCUGGUACAGCCACUUGCACAGCACAGCAAGAGCUACAGCUGGAACACCAGUGGAUACAGUGGAUACUAAGAAAUACUCCCAAAGCCAGAAGGAGGCAAGAGGGGGAACCUGGAAGAGCAAACAAGAGCGGGGACAAGGAGCGGACCGAAGGGCGAGCUUAGAAACAGCCUCGUUGGUCAUUCCAUGACCUGUAAGCGGUGACAGCACCACUAACUGGUGGACAUCGUCAGACUGGACCAAGAAUUAAGGGGCCCCAUUUAGGAAUUUGGAAAUUAAAGGGCACCUUCUGCCUAAUGCACAAGGCAAAGAAGACCUCAGGGAAACUGGAAACUAUUUUGAACUGGAUGGAAAUGAAAGUACAGCGCCCUCGUCUUUGGGGGAUGCAGCCAAAGCCGUGUUUAGGGGGAACGGAGACCAGCACGUGUUGGUGGAAGGUCCAGUGUCCACACAGGGGGCAGAGGCUGGAGAGCAGCCCCCGAACCAGCGGCCCCGUCCCCUGGUUACCAAGGGCCCUGUGUGUGGUGGGGCUCAGUGGAUGGUGACACCACAGUCAAAGCCCCAAGGGCUUUGUGUCCACCCCAGUGGACACGUCUCCUUCUGGAGAGCCUCGUCUCCUGCCCGAGUCCGGGGAAAUCUCUCUGUCUAGCCUGUUCUCCUGCCACAUGAGUGUAUCAUCCUGUUCAGCCCCCAGAUGUCUGCGCAUUGGAAGCAUUUUGUUAAUUUAUUCACUAAAAU